GGGCAGCAGGCCAGGGAGUGCUGGCCCUCUGAUCGCCCAGCGGAUACCCUGGCUGGCUGACACGGCAAUGUUGCUAUGUGCAGAGAGCCCUUCUGUAUUACAUGGAGAAAGAGAAAUGGGGGGGGGGGGGUUCCGGGGGACAAAAGAAAGGCCGGUGGUUCCACUCAGUCUACGACUUCCUAUGCGGUGUGGUCCUUACAGAAAGGGACAUGCAGGGCGGGUCCCACACACUUCAGAACCUUAUGCUUGACCUGAGCAAGUGACAUCUCCUCAGACUCUUGGUUGUCACGCCUGUAAAAGGCAACGGGCACGGUGCCAGCCCUCUCGGCUGUGCCGUGAUGACAUGGAAGUCCUCGUGACUGUGGUGCAGCUUAUUUGCUGGUGGACGUGCGUGGGUUCUGUUUCCCUCGCCUCUGAGGCCUUCAGCCCACAGCUCACCUCCUGGGCACUCAGUUGCCAAUUGCUCUGACCGCAGACACGUGAGGCCAGCUGGGAGAGCUGCAUGUAAGGGAUGCCCAGAUGUGCUGGCACUGCUUGGGGAGGGAAUACGAGUGGAGCAACGCUGACGGCAGCCUUCAUGGAGGAGACGCAGCCCCAGAGAGAAAGAGAGGGAGAGAAGGCCAUGGCGGGGUGAUGGGGACACUCUGACCAUGGCGGCGUCCACCGCACUGGAGAUGCUCCUGCAGUGACGUGUCCGUCCGUCCGUCUGUCAGGGAGGGCUGGCUGACAGCCUGUGCCGUGGAAGCGCUCCUGCCCAUCAGCCACAGGCACCCACUCUGUGGAGAACGACCCUCGGCCUCACCCAGGAACUGGGGUGCCUCCCCCUCGAGCCCCCGCACCCUCCUUCCGUGACCCUUCCAGAGGGUCCUCCGGGACCUGUGGGGGAAAAUGGCGGCUCCAGCAGGUGCAGGAGGCGGGGAGGGGGGUGCCCCUCCCCGGGUGAGGUCCUGGGUGGCGCCUGGCCACUCCCCGCCCCGGGAGCCUAGGCCCAGCACUCACAUGGGCCCCUGUGAUCCCAAGGGGAAGGAGCCACACAUGGCAAGCUCUCCGAGGGGCACCCGGGGCCUGGCCAAGGGGCUCAGAGGCUAUGCAGGGUCUGCAACGAUGGCACCAGUGAGGUCAAAGGGCAGGACUUCUCCAGGGGGCCCCCAACCUAGGGUGAGUAACUGCAAAGCGGAAAGAAACUUCCCCAAACUGCCAGUGAACGCUGCCGCCCGUGGCCUGAGGCUGAGCUGGGGCCCGUCCUCUCCAUCCACGGAGUGGCCCCCGGGCAGAGCGGUGCCAGCCGGGCCUCUGCACUUGACAACCUUCUGCAUCUCGACACACGGCUUUAAAACGCUGGUAAUAUGCUGCCUCUUCUUUCCACAUUCUAAAUGGAUACUCAGAGUCACAGGUCGGUCUGUUGUGGCAAUUUUGUAUAUUUUUCCCAGAGAAAGCACCUCUGAUUGUAUAAGCUCCAGCCCCACAGGCAAGGCCACCUUCUAACUGUCGCCUGGAGGAGGACGCCCCAGGCG
rnacentral:lncRNA from 1 species